AGGGUUAGAGCUCAGUGGUAGAGCUCAUGCUUAGCAUGCACGAGGUCCUGGGUUCAAUCCCCAGUCCCUCCA
rnacentral:tRNA from 1 species